AAGUCGUAACAAGGUUUCCGUAGGUGAACCUGCGGAAGGAUCAUUAUUGAAGUUGAUUCGGGUUGUCGCUGGCUCUUAGGAGCAUGUGCACGCUCGUUCAUAUUCAUUUUCUCUUGUGCACCUUUAGCUAGACUAUGAAUACCUCUCGAGUGAAAAUCUCGGAUUGCGGGUUGCGAUUCAGCUUCCCUUGCAUUUUCAUAGUCUAUGUCUUCAUAUACCCCUUUGUAUGUCUUUGAAUGUUUUUUUUGUGGGUUCUUUGUGACCUAUAAAUGUCAGUACAACUUUCAACAAUGGAUCUCUUGGCUCUCGCAUCGAUGAAGAACGCAGCGAAAUGCGAUACGUAAUGUGAAUUGCAGAAUUCCGUGAAUCAUCGAAUCUUUGAACGCACCUUGCGCCUCUUGGUAUUCCGAGGGGCAUGCCUGUUUGAGUGUCAUUGAAUCCUCAAAAGAAAAGCUUGACUGCUUUCUCUUUUGGAAUUGGAGCGUGCUGGCCUUCUGUUAAUGAAGCCCAGCUCCUCUGAAAUACAUUAGUGAUGUGACAUCCGCAUGGCACCACGCUUGUCUGGCAUUGAUAAGUAUCUUCAUGCCUGAGUGUGUUGUGCAGCUGUGGAAAGUUUCGCUCGCUCAUAGCUUGAUGGGGUCAGCCCAUCCUUUGACCAAUUUAACCUCAAAUCAGGUAGGAUUACCCGCUGAACUUAAGCAUAUCAAUAAGCGGAGGAAAAGAAACUAACAAGGAUUCCCCUAGUAACUGCGAGUGAAGCGGGAAGAGCUCAAAUUUAAAAUCUGGCGGUUCUCUGAGCUGUCCGAGUUGUAAUCUAGAGAA
rnacentral:misc_RNA from 1 species